rnacentral:rRNA from 1 species
CGAGAAAACUUUGCAAUGUGCGAAAGCACGACAAGGUUAAUCCGAGUGGUUUCUGCUAAAGGAACCUUUUGUCAGUCCUAGAAACACUGAUGAAGUAAGGGUGGGCAAGUUCUGGUGUCAGCCGCCGCGGUAAAACCAGCACCUCAAGUGGUCAGGAUGAUUAUUGGGACCUAAAGCAUCCGUAGCCUGCUUUGUAAGUUUUCGGUUAAAUCCAUAUGCUCAACGUACAGGCU